rnacentral:rRNA from 1 species
AGUGAACGCUGGCGGCGGGCCUAAUACAUGCAAGUCGAGCGGAAGGACAGUAAGAGUUCGCCUUUAAGGGUGGCGAGGGGCGGAUGGGUGAGGAAUACAUAGGAAACUACUAAUACGGGGAGGACAACGUGGGGCCAGAUAUGAUACUAGAGAACAUGAUGAACGGGUGGGAGUAGGAGUUAAACGGGGUUUGCGCGACAGUUAGAGACGAUGCCGCAUUAGCUAGUUGGCGAGGUAACGGCACACCAAGGCGACGAUACGUAGCUGAUCUGAGAGGAUGAUCAGCCACACUGGAACUGAGACACGGUCCAGACUCCUACGGGAGGCAGCAGUGGGGAAUCUUCGGCAAUGGGCGCAAGCCUGAUCCAGCCAUGCCGCGUGAGUGAAGAAGGCCUUCGGGUCGUAAAGCCCUUUUGUUAGGAAAGAAAAGCAGCAUGUUAAUACCCCGCUGUUCUGACGGUACCCAAAGAGUAAGCACCGGCUAACUUCGUG